rnacentral:rRNA from 1 species
AGGGUUUGAUUCUGGCUCAGGACGAACGCUGGCGGCGUGCCUAACACAUGCAAGUCGAACGGAGUUAAGCUCUUCGGAACUUAACUUAGUGGCGAACGGGUGAGUAACGCGUGAGGAACCUGCCUUUCAGUGGGGGACAACAGUUGGAAACGACUGCUAAUACCGCAUGACACUUUUUGGGGACAUCCCUGAGAAGUCAAAGCUUUAUGUGCUGAAAGAUGGCCUCGCGUCUGAUUAGCUAGUUGGUGAGGUAACGGCUCACCAAGGCGACGAUCAGUAGCCGGUCUGAGAGGAUGAACGGCCACAUUGGGACUGAGAUACGGCCCAG